GGUCCCCCCCGAAGGGAGUCAGUGGGGUGGGGGUUAGCUCCUGGGUUCCGGAUCCUUCUGAAGUACGGACUGGGAGCCCCGGGUCGGUGGUCCUCAGCCAGAGGUGGGAGGCUGGGUGUGUUCUUUACUCAUAUAUUUAUAAAGUAGGCAGAUGGGCUUGGAGCAACAUCCCCGCAGAGCUCGGAACAGUGAGAGAGCCUUGAAACAGCUGUUAGCAGAGCCCUGGACGGCCAGGACCGAGGGAGCGGCGCGGGCUGGCCGGUCCUGAGCCGGCGGGAGAGAGCCGCCACGAAGGGUCAAUUAUUCAUGGAGCGCCUGGGCGUGCUCCCAAGACCUGCCCUGUCCUCGGCUUCUCCGGAGAAGUGGGGAGAAGACGGGGGAAAAGUUCCCAGAGCAAAGUUGGGCACAUUUCUUAUUUUCCCAAGUAAGUAUUGAGCACCUGCUGGAUGCCUGGCCCUUGGACUGGGGCUGCAACGGGGGCGGGAGGGAGAAACGUGAGGUCCUGAUGGGCCCCCAAGAGUUUCCGCUGGAAACAAUGCGAAGGAGGCUGCCGCUCAGGACCAGGUCACUGGGAAGAAGGAAAGCCUGGAUCCUCUCCCCCCCACCCUCCUCUCUUCCUUCCCCUUCCCUUCCUCCUGGCUGCAUCUUCUUGGCUCCACCCCUUCUCCUCAUCAAUUCCUCCCACACUUCCCUGCUCUCCCUGGCUUUUCACUGGAGGGUCCCUUCUCCCAGCGAGGAGCAGAUGCUGAGCCCCAUUGUCUCUCCCCCAAUGACUGCAGUCUCCCAGGGACAGGACCUGCCACUCUUCACCCCUCCCCCAAGCCGGGAGGCCUGGGCCUUUAGAGACUGGAGACCCAAGGCCACUGCCCCUCGCCCCACCCUACACCAGCUCUUGGUGCUGUGAGCAAUGACUCCAGUCACUCAGAACAUGAUUUAUUUCUCACUAGGAGUGAGAAAACAGAAGCCAGAGAGUUUGCUUCAGCAAGAAAGACACCAUGGUUUUGACAUCGGCACAUCGAGCCCCCAGUGACCCCAGAGCCUUCCUGCAUGCCCUGUUAAGAGAGUGCCCAGUACACUCUUUUAAUAGGGCCUGCAGGAAGUCACAUUUCUGUCAUUACCUGCUCCUUAGUACACUCAAACUGUAUCCUUUAAACAAAGCAAAACACAGCUCUGGUAGUCACACAUUCAUUCAACAAAUGCUUGUCAAGUACCUACUCUGCACCAACUAGUGUGCUGGUAGUAAGCACCUAACCAUCAGCAAGAUAGGAUCCUUGCUAUGGCUUUGCAGACAGCAGGGGAAGGAGCAAAAAAAAAAAAAAAACAUAAUGUACACAAGGGUAAACCAAAAAAACAUCUAAAGGGGUACCUGACUUAGGGUAUUCCCAGAAGGCUUCCUGGAGGAGGUUACAUCUAGUUAAAUGGACCUGUGUCAGACAGUGCAUGGGAGGAAACAGCCUGUCCCCAGGGCAAGAGAGAAAGAACACUUUUACAGGUUCUUGGAAUUGUUAAUGAGUUCAAGUACUUGCUGCAGCCCAGAGUACUGUGGGGGGUGGGGGUGAGGAUUGGUGUCAGGGCACAAGUGGGGGAGGGGAAGGGGAAAUGUUCAAAUUUUAGCCUUCCCACUUGCUAACUCCAUGAACUUGAGUGACUAUAACAGUGGCUCAGUUUCCGUACCUAUAAAAUAGGGGUAAGAAGACCUGUGGGUUGCAGAGAGGCUUUAUGUUUAAGUGCCCAGGCUUGCUUGCUGAAUAUCCCUGGGCAACUGACCACUCUAUGUCUAAGUUUUCUUGUCUGUAAAAUGGGGAUGAAGAUACAUGGUUCACAGAGUUCGUGAGGCUUAAACAAACCCAUGCCUAAAAUACAGGGUAGCUUCUGUUCACAAUUACUAUAAAUGAGGGAGUGACAGGGAGAUGCCCUUACAACCUGGAUUUGAGAUUAUUGGUUUAAGUCAGAGUGACUCACCAGGCCAGAAACCCGAUGAGCUGGCUGUGGAGGAAGCUUUCUUCAAAAAUGCUCUGUGUCCCAGCAGGUAGCUGGACUGGGGAACACCCGCCUCUGUUUGAGACCUCAAAAACAUGACCAGAAAAAAAAAAUGACCAGAAUGGAUGUAGUUAAGAAGGUCAAACCUUCUUCUUUAGGAAGAAGGUGGGCCUUGUAAAAUCCAGAAGGAGCAGGUACCUGGCUGUGUUUGCUCAGCACAAAUUCAUUGUGAAAGAAUUUGAAAAUCAACUAAGCAAAACUGGAAAAGAACCACAUACAGAGACAUUAUGUUUUGGCAUAUAACCUUGGACCUUUUAUAUCCCCAUAUCUACAUGUAAAUGCCCAUAAUAAAACUAUACAUAAUGUUGCUAAACAAAUGAAUAUAUAUGUAAAUGUUUUUUUUACAGAAUAAAAAAUUUGGCAUAACAUCAUACCUAUUAAAAUGCAAUCAUUUUUACCAGCUAAUAUGUCACAUAUAUUUCCUAUCUAUAAACAUCUACAUUAUCCUUAGUAAAUAUUAAUCUGUGGUAUGCAUAUAUCUUAAUUUUUUUAUUUUAAUUAUUAUUAUUAUUAUUUGGUGGUACUGGGUAUUGAACUAAGGGGUGCUUUACCACAGAGAUACAUUCCCAGCCCUUAUUAUUUUUUAUUUUGAGACAGGGUCUUGCUAAAUUGCCCAAGCUAUCCUUGAACUUGAGAUCCUACUGUCUCAGUUUUCCAGGUCAAUGUGAUUACAGGCAUGUGCCACUAUACUCAGCUCAGAUUUUCACUUUUCUGACACUUACGAUGAACAUUCUUUUCUUUCUUUUUUUGGUACCAAGGAUAGAACCUAGGGACACUUAACCACUGAGCCACAUAUCCAGCCCCUUUUAUUUUUUAUUUUGAGACAGGGUCUCACUAAAUUGUUGAGGCUGUCUUUGGAUUUGCAAUCUUCCUGCCUCCACUUCCUGAGCUGCUGGGAUUACAAGGGUAUACUACCGCGCCCAGCAGGUAAACAUUUUUGUACAGUCUCCUUUGUACCAGGCUAGGAUAAUACUUUAUGUGAGGUAGGUGUCAUCAUUUUACAGAUAAGGAAACUGAGGUCCCAAAAUCUUAAAAACUUCCGGAGGUCAACAACCAUGGCAUGACUGAGGCAGAAUUUGCAGCCAGGGUUUCCAGUUGGGAGUUUCCUUUCAGCAUUUCUGCUUCCCACUUUUCUUUGAAGACACCCCCCUCUUCGGGAUCCUUCCCACUAUCUUUCUCUCUUGAAUACUUCCUUCCUAUGAAAACCUGUUGGACAGGAGACCAACUUCUUUCUCUGACACCUUAUUAACUUCAGUGUUGCCCACUUCCUGGGGUUGUAAGGAAUGAAAGCAGGUAAUAUGUGACAUAAAAUACAUGAUCCUGUAUUUUGCAAGUUAUAAAGCCUAUGUGAAUGUUAAGAAUAAAGGCCUAAGCUCAUAGACAUCACAUUUAGCCAAAUCCCCUGACUUACCCAAACCCAGGAGGGAAUCUUCCUCAUUCACUUUAGAGAAAAAGAAAUCUGUUUUGAAACACAGCAGUAAUGGAGGCCUCUCUUGGGCAUUUCAGAAACCCCACAGUUGCCCCCCAGAGCUGAAAUUUGAAGGUAGGUUUGUUAUAAGAUUUAUUAAUCUUCAUUAUCUCCCUGAGGGAGGAUGUAUUUAUGAUACAGACCUUCCAGAAUGUUCACAUCCAUCUUUGAAAAUCUAAGAAAUCUUGUAAGCUGAGAAAGGAAUGAAACACAGCUCUUCAACAUUUCCAUCAACAUGUUCACCAGAAUAACUCUGCUGGGAGAUUAGCAGGUGAUUAUUAAAAUCUGGGUUUUUUUUCCCACUGGCAGAAUCAAACAAACAUUUUAGAAGAUAUCAAUGGCUUUGUAUCAUUUGAUAUUUAAUUUUUAAUAUCAAGCCCUUAACUGAAAUGCAGACAAUGAGAGAAGAGACUCCAGUUGAACUAUAGACACCCUGCAGCAAGCACAGUUUGGCUUGGGCUAUAAAAUGGGUUGGUCAGAAUCUGGGAAUCCCUUUGAACCCAAGGCCUUGUGCCUGGGAGGCAAGCACUCUACCAACUGAGCUACAUCCCCAGCCCUUCACUUAGUUCUUAAAGUCACCAAGAGCUAAGUUAAUGACACAGAAAUUAAAAAUCCUCAGAACUACAGUAAUAGUUUAGGAAUCCUCAUGGUUUUAGGGGGAAACCCAAAGAAAGCAAAAGUCUGUAUGGAUAGAGGGAAUAAGCAUAUGGUAUUUGAAAAUGGUUUUCCAAGCUGCAUUGACAAGGGACAUCAAAUAAUCCACUUCCUCUAACCACCCACUUGUGAUUAAGGGUGCAUGAUUUUUUUGGUUUGUUUGUACAGUUCUGAAGCCAGAUGUACAGAUAGGUAGUUAUUGUAGUUAGGUAAAUCUGGUCUAAUAUCGAGUAAGAUAGAUAAAAUGGAGGCCAUUAUAGAGAAUGGAGUCCAGGAAACCAGAGCAGCCUUGGGGAAAUUGAAAUGUUAAUGUCCCCAAGGCCCUGAGCCCACCCUAAGGAAAUGUUAAUGAAGCAGCUCCCAGCAACAGGAAAAUGCUAAUCAAAAGCUGCCCAGGCCAUUCCUGCCCAGACUAUUCCUUCGGCACACCUAUCUCCCACCUUUUGGGCCUUCCCACCUGCAUUCCAUCACUGAAAGAUAUAGGGAAACAAAGACAUGAGUGUGGGAAAGACGAAAGAAGACCUUAGCUAUAAAAAAGGGAAGACCUCCCCCUUCCACGGAUUCUGCCUUUUGGGUCCCCUUCUUCCUCCGGGGAGAAGUCCUUUCUGCUGUCCUUUAAUAAAGCUACUUUCCACUCUAAACUUGCCUCGCGUGCUUCUUUGGUGUUAUAAUUCAGCAUUCAGGGAAGCAAGGACUCCUCACUCGUCUCGGGUAAACAGUGGUAACAGUUCAUUGAACCCAGGGGCACUUAACCACUGAGCCACAUCCCUAACCCUUUUUUAUACUUUAUUUAGAGACAAGGUCUCACUAAAUUGCUUGGGGCCUUGCUAAAUUUCUGAGGCUGACUUUGAACUCACGAUCCUCCAGCCUCAGCCUCCUAAGAGUUGCUGGGAUUAUAGGCAUGUGCCACCACACCCAGCCGAAAUCAAGUUUUUGAAGAA